rnacentral:tRNA from 1 species
GGCUAGAUAACAUAAUGGUUAUGUAUAAGAUUGCAAAUCUUUAGUAUAUCGGUUCGAAUCCGGUUCUAGCUU